AUGAUUUAUUACUGAAGAAUAUUUUAACUCCGAUCAAACUAAAGUAAUAAAUGCUUGACAAACAACUAUUUAAAUCAAUAGAUCAACAGUGAACGCGCUCGGAGCGAAUUUUGGAACACUUCCUAAAAUAUUUACAGAAGCAGCAAAUGCAACUCUGGGAUGUAGCUGAAUAUCAAAUAAUUAGGCAAAUUUGUGCGCGCAUAGUGUUUUUUCCGGAAAAUUUUCGUAGUUUUCGUAAAAUAUUUAGACAUUUUGUAUUUGCAAUAUACGUGAGUCGUGUGCUAGCAGAGGUUUUACAAAUAUCGGCCUUGUGGAGAUUUGGAAGUUUCUGGCCAAACAACCAACAAAAAAAAUGCCGAAAAGAUGUGUAUGCAGAUGUGCAGAAGUAAGCUCCCUCUACAAGUUUCCUUUGGCCUCGGAUGUAUCAAGGU